rnacentral:rRNA from 1 species
AUAUCAAUAAGCGGAGGAAAAGAAACCAACAGGGAUUGCCCUAGUAACGGCGAGUGAAGCGGCAACAGCUCAAAUUUGAAAUCUGGCCCUAGGCCCGAGUUGUAAUUUGCAGAGGAUGCUUUUGGCAAAGCGCUUACCGAGUCCCCUGGAACGGGGCGCCACAGAGGGUGAGAGCCCCGUAUGGUAUGACGCCGAGCCUCUGUAAAGCUCCUUCGACGAGUCGAGUAGUUUGGGAAUGCUGCUCUAAAUGGGAGGUAAAUUUCUUCUAAAGCUAAAUACCGGCCAGAGACCGAUAGCGCACAAGUAGAGUGAUCGAAAGAUGAAAAGCACUUUGAAAAGAGGGUUAAAUAGCACGUGAAAUUGUUGAAAGGGAAGCGCUCGUGACCAGACUUGCGCCGGGCGGAUCAUCCAGCGUUCUCGCUGGUGCACUCCGCCCGGCUCAGGCCAGCAUCGGUUUUCGCCGGGGGACAAAAGCUUCGGGAACGUGGCUCCCUUCGGGGAGUGUUAUAGCCCGUUGCUUAAUACCCCGGCGGGGACCGAGGACCGCGCUUCGGCAAGGAUGCUGGCGUAAUGGUCAUCAGCGACCCGUCUUGAAACACGGACCGAGGAGUCAAGCAUUAGUGCGAGUGUUUGGGUGUAAAACCCGCACGCGUAAUGAAAGUGAACGUAGGUGAGAGCUUCGGCGCAUCAUCGACCGAUCCUGAUGUUUUCGGAUGGAUUUGAGUAGGAGCAUUAACGCU